GUUGAGCCUUUCACUGACUUGGAAUCAAGCUGUAAUAUGGGAUUCAAGUCCUGUUCAGGAACAUAUCAUCCUGUGAUCUGAAUGCUAGCCAUCAAGGAUCCCAGUCAUCAGAGGUAUGAAAGAGUAGUCGUCACAGAGAUGUAACUGCUGCCCAAAUAUGCCUCCUCUCCAUGCACACAAAGGAGGAAGACAUUCCUUCAGAAGGAGAUGUUCUUCCGGUACACUUGCAGAACCUGGCUUGAGAGUGGAAGAUAGUAAGGCUUGGAGCUGUGAUGUGCAAGCAAGAAGGGGACUGGGAGAAAUGGUGAGUUAAGCGAGGGACAGAGAUUAAGGGGAAGGAUAAAAGGGGAGUUGAAUAAAUAUGCAUGGCAGAAACAGGGUAAUCUUGCUUCCAUGUAUGCAGAAAACCUGUGUUUUGGCUGUUGUAUUGAGUAAUGAUUCAUCGCUGCGACACAAAGAAAACAAAUUUACACUUUCUUUCUCGUUUCACGUGGGCAGAGGAAAACAGCUUCUCAAUUUUAAGAUUUAGCAUUAGUGUUUUCAGUAGAGAAUCAAGUAUGCAUUGAAGGUGCCAGACUGCCAAGUACGCCAGAAGGUGCACAGAGACCGAAAUCCUCUGUGUAACCACAGAAAGGCUGAGAGGCAGCAGCCUGUAGACUGUAGACUUUGCAAACGCAGACAUACAGCAGUCUUGUUCUAAGGGGAUCCUUCCUUCCCUUCCUCCCUCCAUCCUUCCCUAGUACUAGAAAUGGGUGAAUGACCUCUUCUGUGUCAGCAACUUGUUGAAAAACUUUCAGAUUUAGGGGCAAGGGAUACAGAUCUGUCGAUUUCAGUGAAUGUUGCACUUGACAGACUGCAGCUAGCUGACAGUCACUUUUUGGUUUCCAAUAGAACAUAAACUACACUGAGCUUUCCCAAACACAGAGACAUAUAGUAGUUUGAUUUGAUUCAGUAAAACCAACCCUUUUAAUGAACAUUCUAUUUUGAAUACUUUUCACCAUCAGAGAAGCUCUAAAUGUGCAGCACAGACAGGAUGUCAUAGCUCCUGUUCCUCAAAAGUCAGAGCUUUGCCUUGUUCUGUUUCCUGAUGAACUGCAGAAAACAUUAUUUCCUGUCACUUGUGUUCUAAAAUAAUCCCUACUGUUGGAGUGAAUAAAUCAAAGGAGGUCUGCUUGUUUCAGACAGCAUCCUGCUGCUACAUAGACUGUCCACCAAAAUGUCAAAUGGAAACAAUCCUGUGGGAUCGCUCCCAUGGGUUUCUGUGAAGGAGGCUCCAGCAAGGAAAGGACGGAAGAUCCAGUGGAACAGCUGCUAGCUACCUGCUGUGUGAAAUUUAUUUCCCUUGAGCUUCUUGGGAU